GAGUGAACGCUGGCGGCAGGCCUAACACAUGCAAGUCGAACGGCAGCGCGAGAGAGCUUGCUCUCUUGGCGGCGAGUGGCGGACGGGUGAGGAAUACGUCGGAAUCUGCCUAUUUGUGGGGGAUAACGUAGGGAAACUUACGCUAAUACCGCAUACGUCCUACGGGAGAAAGCAGGGGACCUUCGGGCCUUGCGCAGAUAGAUGAGCCGACGUCGGAUUAGCUAGUUGGGGGGGUAAUGGCCCACCAAGGCGACGAUCCGUAGCUGGUCUGAGAGGAUGAUCAGCCACACUGGAACUGAGACACGGUCCAGACUCCUACGGGAGGCAGCAGUGGGGAAUAUUGGACAAUGGGCGCAAGCCUGAUCCAGCCAUGCCGCGUGGGUGAAGAAGGCCUUCGGGUUGUAAAGCCCUUUUGUUGGGAAAGAAAAGCAUUCGGUUAAUACCCGGGUGUCAUGACGGUACCCAAAGAAUAAGCACCGGCUAACUUCGU
rnacentral:rRNA from 1 species